rnacentral:rRNA from 1 species
AGUGAACGCUGGCGGUAGGCCUAACACAUGCAAGUCGAACGGCAGCACAGUAAGAGCUUGCUCUUACGGGUGGCGAGUGGCGGACGGGUGAGGAAUACAUCGGAAUCUACUUUUUCGUGGGGGAUAACGUAGGGAAACUUACGCUAAUACCGCAUACGACCUACGGGUGAAAGCAGGGGAUCUUCGGACCUUGCGCGAUUGAAUGAGCCGAUGUCGGAUUAGCUAGUUGGCGGGGUAAAGGCCCACCAAGGCGACGAUCCGUAGCUGGUCUGAGAGGAUGAUCAGCAAAACUGGAACUGAGACACGGUCCAGACUCCUACGGGAGGCAGCAGUGGGGAAUAUUGGAAAAUGGGCGAAAGACUGAUCCAGCCAGACCGCGUGGGUGAAGAAGGCCUUCGGGUUGUAAAGCCCUUUUGUUGGGAAAGAAAAGCAGCAGGUUAAUACCCCGCUGUUCUGACGGUACCCAAAGAAUAAGCACCGGCUAACUUCGU